rnacentral:tRNA from 1 species
CCGACCUUAGCUCAGCUGGAAGAGCGAAGGACUGUAAUGGUACCGUUCUCUGAAAUCCUUAGGUCGCCUGUUCGAUCCAGGCAGGUCGGA